rnacentral:lncRNA from 1 species
AUUCGGGGUUGAAGUGCAGCUUGCGUCUCGCUUGGCGGGGGGACCGUCAAGCUCCUGACGUCCAUGGACGAUGUGAUGUCACCGGGAGACGUUGGACGGGCCGGGAACCUGGUGCAGAGGCGACAACCUGCUGAUUAAACCCCUGUUUCGUGACGUCAUGCGAAUGCGACCUUCUUCCUCGUCAAGUCCUGUCAUCAUCUCAGUU